rnacentral:rRNA from 1 species
UUUCGCAAUGCCCGAAAGGGUGACGAAGCGACGCCGCGUGUGGGAAGAAGGCCUUCGGGUUGUAAACCACUGUCGGGAGUUAAGAAAUACAAGGAUAUUAAUAGUGUCUUUGUUUGACUAAGGCUCCGGAGGAAGCCACGGCUAACUCUGUGCCAGCAGCCGCGGUAAUACAGAGGCGGCAAGCGUUGUUCGGAAUUAUUGGGCGUAAAGAGCACGUAGGCGGCUAUGUAAGUCGGUUGUGAAAGCCUUCCGCUCAACGGAAGAACAGCAUCCGAUACUACAUGGCUUGAGUGCGGGAGGGGAGAGUGGAACUUCUGGUGGAGCGGUGAAAUGCGUAGAUAUCAGAAGGAACGCCGGCGGCGAAAGCGGCUCUCUGGCCCAUAACUGACGCUGAGUGUGCGAAAGCUAGGGGAGCAGACGGGAUUAGAUACCCCGGUAGUCCUAGCCGUAAACGAUGGGCACUAAGUAGAGGGGUUUU